rnacentral:rRNA from 1 species
GACGAACGCUGGCGGCGUGCUUAACACAUGCAAGUCGAACGGAAAGGCCCGGCGUUUGUGGGGUGCUCGAGUGGCGAACGGGUGAGUAACACGUGAGUAACCUGCCCCUGACUUUGGGAUAACUUCAGGAAACUGGGGCUAAUACCGGAUAGGAGCUCCUGCUGCAUGGUGGGGGUUGGAAAGUUUCGGCGGUUGGGGAUGGACUCGCGGCUUAUCAGCUUGUUGGUGGGGUAGUGGCUUACCAAGGCUUUGACGGGUAGCCGGCCUGAGAGGGUGACCGGCCACAUUGGGACUGAGAUACGGCCCAGACUCCUACGGGAGGCAGCAGUGGGGAAUAUUGCACAAUGGGCGGAAGCCUGAUGCAGCAACGCCGCGUGCGGGAUGACGGCCUUCGGGUUGUAAACCGCUUUCGCCUGUGACGAAGCGUGAGUGACGGUAAUGGGUAAAGAAGCACCGGCUAACUACGUG